ensembl:snoRNA
AUUGUCCUAGACCUGCCAGCACCACAGACACAGUGGCUCUGCUGUACCUGUAACACUGGGACAAAGAGAAAGUGCUAUUUCUUUUUUUACUUUCUUUU